rnacentral:tRNA from 1 species
GCCCUCGUAGCUCAGAUGGAUAGAGCGACCGCCUCCUCAGCGGUAGGCCACAGGGUCGACUCCUGUCGAGGGCACCA